rnacentral:rRNA from 1 species
AUUGAACGCUGGCGGCAGGCCUAACACAUGCAAGUCGAACGGUAGCACAGAGAGCUUGCUCUCGGGUGACGAGUGGCGGACGGGUGAGUAACGUCUGGGAAACUGCCCGAUGGAGGGGGAUAACUACUGGAAACGGUAGCUAAUACCGCAUAACGUCGCAAGACCAAAGUGGGGGACCUUCGGGCCUCACACCAUCGGAUGUGGCCAGAUGGGAUUAGCUAGUAGGUGGGGUAAUGGCUGACCUAGGCGACGAUCCCUAGCUGGUCUGAGAGGAUGACCAGCCACACUGGAACUGAGACACGGUCCAGACUCCUACGGGAGGCAGCAGUGGGGAAUAUUGCACAAUGGGCGCAAGCCUGAUGCAGCCAUGCCGCGUGUAUGAAGAAGGCCCUCGGGUUGUAAAGUACUUUCAGCGGGGAGGAAGGCGGUGGAGUUAAUAACUUCACCGAUUGACGUUACCCGCAGAAGAAGCACCGGCUAACUCCGUGCCAGCCGCCGCCGUAA